rnacentral:misc_RNA from 1 species
CGCACCUUGCGCUCCUUGGUAUUCCGAGGAGCAUGCCUGUUUGAGUGUCAUGGAAUUCUCAACCUCUACUGCUUUUGUGGCAGAGGCUUGGACUUGGAGGUCGUGUCGGCUUGCGAAAGUCGACUCCUCUGAAAUGCAUUAGUGCGAGCCUUACAGAUCGCUUCGGUGUGAUAAUUGUCUACGCCGUGGUGUGAAGUAUACUUGUGUUCGCGCUUCUAACUGUCCACAAGGACACUUUACAAUCUGACCUCAAAUCAGGUAGGACUACCCGCUGAACUUAA